GCCAGAGCUGUGGGCGGGAGGGACCAGAGCUGUGCCCGGGGCCGCAGCGGAGCAGCUCCAUGGGUCCAGCGCUGCCUCUGGGGCUCCUCUUGGGGCUGCAGGGGAUCCUGGGGGACCCGGGCGGCCCGACAAGAGUUCUCCAUUCCCUGCGUUACCUGUCUGUGGCGGUGUCAGAGCCCAGCCCGGGGGUCCCCCAGUUCAUGGAAUUGGGGUUGGUGGACGGGAUCCCCUUCACGCGCUACGACAGCGAGCGGGGCCGGAAAGUGCCGCUGACGCGGUGGAUGGAGGAGGGAGCUGAGCCGGGAUAUUGGGAGCGCCAGACCCAGAUCUGUCAGGUGAACCAGCAUGUGCGUGUGGAGGACCUGAAGACGCUGCGGCACCGGUACAACCAGAGCGGGGGUCUCCACACCAUACAGUUGCUUUCCGGCUGUGACCUCCUGUCUGACGGGAGUGUCCGUGGAUCCGAGCGGUUCGGCUACGAUGGGCGGGAUUUCAUCUCCUUCGAGCUGGGAUCCAAGAGCUUCGUGGCGGCUGACGACGCUGCUGAGAUCACACGGAAGCGCUGGGAAGAUGAGAACGUGGCUGAGGGGCGGGAGAAUAGCCUGAAACAUGUCUGCCCAGAAUGGCUCCGGAAAUACAUUGGAUACGGGAUGAAAGAGCUGGAGCGCAAAGUGGUCCCUGACGUCCAUGUGUCCGGGAAAGAGGAACACGGGACACUGAUCCUAUCCUGCCACGUGUACGGAUUCUAUCCCAACACCAUCGCAGUCAACUGGAUGAAGGGGGGUGAAAUCCGGGAUCAGGAGACAGAGUGGGGCAGGAUCGUUCCCAACAGCGACGGCACCUUCCACACCUGGGCCAGGAUCGAGGCGCUGCCGGAGGAGUGGGAGCAGUACCAGUGCCGGGUGGACCAUCCCGGAAUGCUGGAACCCGGGAUCUUCGCUUGGGAGCCAACAUCUGGCAUGAAUCUCGCUGUGGUGAUCGCUGUGUCCGUCAUCGCUGCCAUCCUCGUCCUUGUCCUCAUUGGAUUCGGUGUCUGGAGGCUCCAAUCCAGGAAGAGGGACGGGAAUGGAUACAACCCGCCAGCCAGAAGGGACAUGGAAAUGAAUGGCUGAACCACAUUUAUGGAGCAGGAAUCGCCGCCUCAGCGAUCCAUGGAGCUGGAUCGGGCCCUUUCCCUGUUCCUGGGAAAGCCGAGAGCUGCCAGCAGAGCUCAUCCCACUGCUGCCACCCACCCCACAGCUCUUGCUAACGGAUCGAUUUCCUGUUUUCCAAUGUUUUAGAGCCAAAACCCACAAAUAUUCCCGAUGCUUUACUUCUGGUGUGAAAUUAUCCUGCUUGGGGCAAGAAAUCCUGCUUGGAGCAAGAAAUCCGGGUUCCUCCUCCAGUGUCCAGCAGUUCCUCUCUGGGAGCCUGGAGUGGGAGUGGGGACACUGGGGACAGGGAUGGGGACACUGGCAGUAGGGAUGGGAACAGCAGGAAUGGGAAUGGGGACCCCAGGAACUGGGGUGGGGACCCCAGGAGCAGGGUGAGGACACCAGGACCAGGGUGAGGACACCAGGACUGGGACAGGGACACCAGGAACAGGUUUGAGACACCAGGAGCAGGAUGGGGACACCAGGAGUGGGAUGGGGACACCAGGACUGAGAUGGGGAUACCAGGAGCAGGAUGGGGACACCAGGACUGGGUUGGGGACAUCAGGAGCAGGGUGGGGACUUGCCAGCCACACCCAGCUCCAUUCCCCAGGAUUCAUUUCCCAUUCCGUGUCCCAUAUCCAAGGUAUCCCCAGGAGGGUUUGGCCACACUGGGCUCCUGGAGGGGCAGUGGGAUGGGGGGAGGGGUCAGACCAGGCCUCGCUGUCCCCAGGUGUCCUUGAGUGUCCCAAAAUCGGUGCUUGGGAUCACAGAGAGGUUCCCUGGCCAUGACCAUGGCCAUGACACAAGCACAAGAUGGCCGUGAGAUGAGAGUGACCAUGAGUGACACAACCCUGAGAUGACCACGACCAUGGGAUAACCAUGACUGUGACCACAACUGUGACCAUGACUGUGACCAUGGCUGUGACUAUGACCAGGAGAUGACCAUGACCAUGACACAACCACAACCCUGACCAUGAGAUGAUUUGGACCAAGAGAUGACCAUGGCUUGGCCAUGAGACAGCCGUGGCCUUGAGGUGACGCUGAUGUGAUUGUGGCCAUGAGAUGACCAUGAGGUGACAAUGGCAUGAUCAUGAGAUGACCAUUACAGUGGGAUGACCAUGAGCAUAAGAUGAUGGUGAUCAGGAAAUGACUGUGACCAUGAGACAACCACAAGAUGAUCGUGACAUCGUGACAGAUGACCACGAGAUAACCAUGACACCACCAUAGUCAUGAAAUGAUGGAAGGCCUUGAGAUGACCUUGACUGUGACCAUGACAUGAUCUUGACCAAGAAGUGCCACACCACACCAUAGCUGUGUGGUGAUCAAGACCAUGAGAUGAUCAUGACACAACCAUGGCUGUGAGAUGAUUGUGACCAUGAGGUGACUGUGAGAUGACCAUGAGGUGACCAUGACCAUAAGAUGAUGGUGAUGACCAUAACCGUGGGAAAUAAAAAAACUCUUACAGAAUAAGGACCUUUUCCACCUUUGUUAAAUCCCAGUCACUUCCGUUCACUUUUGUUCACCAAAAAGCACUCUGGGAAGGGUUCAGCUGCAGGUCAGAUGGUCCGAGAGUGGGCUGGUGGUCAUCUCAUGGGUGAGGCAGUGAUUGGCUGGGGAGAUGCGUGGCCACCACAUGAUCAGAGAGCUGACUGGGUAAAGGAAUGCAUCAACAGCGACACUACAGUGGCAGACAGCCAAUGCAUGCUUGGUUCGGUUUAGUUAAGUUUGGUUAAGUUUGGGUCAGGCUUGGUUAGGUUUGGGUUAGGUUUUGUUAAGUUUGGGUUAUGUUUCAAGUAUAAAAAGGCUCAGUUGGUUACAAUAAAGGAUCUUUGAA